rnacentral:lncRNA from 1 species
UGCUUGCUGCGCGAUGAGCGAUUGGUAUGCUGCAUUGAUAGUGGCGAUGUUCUUGGCAUACCACGAGGCUGGGGUUUCGCCCUCUGGUAAGCCAAGUAAUGCAGAUACAUUUUGAGGUGGCGCUGUGCGGAAAUCUCGUUCAGCUUCUUCUGUAUAGCCAAUGUGUUGUCUUGGCUUAUAGUACUCAUGGUUCUUUGGUAAACGAUUAAAGACCGAUGAUUCUUCAUCACCUUCCCAUGUAGGAUCAUAUGGGUCGGUUUCUUCCCAUUCGUUGUUCAUGUUGCGCGGCGUGAGCCGGCUGUGCACAGGGCCUCGUUGAAGGUUCGACGGAUACUCAUAGUAACUAUCCGUUUCCCCUCUUGUAUCGCGCGUGUCUUGUACGCUUA